UAAAAUAGGGGGCGUGAAAACUAUUAAAUAAUAGUUCCCAGUGGGCAAUUACUGACUUCAGUGAAAGCACCACUAGACCCAAAACUGAACAAAAGAGAGUAGUGUAAAAGUAAGCAAUAUGAACCACUAGUAAGUAAGCAUGAAAAUUUAUUACAACAUGAUGCCAAAACUUAGCAUGAAAUUACAUAAGUAAUGAAAGACUAUUCUAACAUGAAUGUACCAAGGUAUCACUAGCAUGAUGUCCACAAGCUAAAUAGUAAAAUGUCAUUGUUUACUAUUCUAGUCAAAGUCCAAAUGGCAUGUUCUGUCACAAAGUUCCAAUCAUAUAAGACCCACCCGUAGGUUGUCUGGCCUGCGCCGUACCUAAUGGCCCCGUGGUAGUCAACAUCCCCACUCUAGGAAUGAGCCUCCCCCACGGCAUCCCAUUUCGGCGCCCAAUCUCGCACGAGCGAGCAUAUGUCGCGAUGGCUAUCUCCGGAGUGCCGGCUUAUAGGGAGCGACCCUCACAAGCAUGUGCGCAUGAGCACAAUGGCAAGCAAGCGAAAGAUCUGUCUCAAGUACCAAGUCCUCAUAUCUAAAAAUAUGGAAUAUACGUCGAAUGUCUCAAAAGCC
rnacentral:lncRNA from 1 species